ACAAAUAUAAUAUUUCUAGACUAAUUGCAACUGGGCUUAUAAGCAUCUAGGUAUAGGCUCUUCAGUGCAUGUUUAUACAAGUUAUAGGUACUGGUCCUAAUGCUAUUGGGGAGAUUAUUCCACAAUUUAACACCAACAAACUUGAUUGAGUUUUGGGUGAGUUUGGUGCUAAAACGAUUUACAUAAUAAGAACUGCUAAUAGAGGACCGUGUUCCAUAUGAGUGAACAUUGCUUUGUUUUGAAAAAUAGUUUGUGAACGCAGGAGGGAGUUUUUUGCAGUGGUGUUGGUGCAUCAAUUUCAAAACUUCUAUUUUGUAAAUGUCUGCCAAUUUAAUAAUUUGAAGGUUAUAAUAAAUAGGACUGAGUCGUGAAAAAUAACUAGCGGCAGAUAUUGCACGGAUUGCUCGGUUCUGCAUAAUUUCAAUGCGAUGUAAUAAUGUUUUAACAGCUGAACCCCAAGCAAUUAUGCCGUAUUGGAUAUGGCUCUGGAAUAAGGAGUAGUACACCAUCCUUAGUGUUGUUGGUGAUGUAAAUCGUCUAAGCUUGUAAAGUAUUCCAACCGAUUUAGAUAAUUUAACGGAUAAUUUGGAUAAGUGAACAUCCCAAUUCAUUUUACUAUCUAAAUAUAUGCCAAGAUAUUUAUAAGAAUGGACAUUUUCAAGUUCUUUGUCAUCAAUUUGUAUUACUGUUUCAUUUUUAGAUUUGCACUGGUGUGGAGAUAUUAACAUAGUUUUUGAUUUGCCAAUGUUCAGUGUUAGUUUAUUAGACCGCAUCCAAUUUGAUACUUUCGCAAUUUCAGAAUUUACUCUCAACUGAAGAACUGCACAAGAUUUGUCGCUGUCGAGAAGAUUGGUAUCAUCAGCAAACAAUUUGGUAAAGAAGGAGGAACAACAAGUUAUGUCAUUUACAUAGACUAGAAAUAGAAGAGGACCCAAGCAACUACCUUGAGGAACUCCGUGAGUCACUGAUUUGAAAAGAGGGAUCACUCGGGCAAUUUUGAGACAUGCAGGGAAGAUUCCAAACAAAAGUGAACAAUUGAAGAAUUCAGCCAAACAUGGUGCAAUGAGAUCAGCAACUAAUUUAAGGAAACGUGCUGGAGCGUUCGGAAGUGUUCCCUUUCAAAAAGUGGGAUUCAAACAUCUUAUUUUUGUGGCGAAUAGAAGCAAGCAGCCCUUUGGUUAGCCAUGGUUUUGAUCGUAGCCUUUUUUGACGACGUGAGAGUGGUCGAAGCGGGGCGUGGCGAUCAAUCAGGGAUCGAAUGUUCACAUGGAAAAUACAAAAGUCAGACACUGAUUGAGAAGAAUUUAAAUCAACAACUCCUACAUUAUUGCACGUUUCAAUGUCACAGGAAUAAGCUAAUUGAGGGUCGUUUGCUAAAGCCAUGUAUGAAAUAUUCAUCCAGAGAUGAUAGAGAUUCCUGGAUUCCAAUGCUGGUCGGG